UGGCUGCGUAAAGAGUUUUAAUUUUUUUAUGAGACCGGCGAAAAUUACGGUCUCAGGCGACAGGCACAACGGAGAGAGAGAUUAUGUUUGAA
rnacentral:ncRNA from 1 species